GCCUCUUUAACUCAAUGGGCAAGAGCCCGAUCGUAUGACUUUUCGGGACGCCGGUUCAAGUCCGGCGAGAGGCA
rnacentral:tRNA from 1 species